ACAGCAAUGAUGCAUUAGUGUUUGAGUUUUUUCCACAUUGCCUCCAGCAUUUGUCAUUUUCUUUUUCUCUCAUGUUAGCAUUUACAAAUUUUUCAAAUAGUUUAUAUAAUAUUGAGAUUAAUUAUUCCUUUAAUGUUUGGUAGAAUCCACUUGUAAAGCCAUCUGGUCCUGGGAAUUUUUUUCUGAAAGAACUCAAAUGGCUUGGCGAUUUCUUCUUCUAAGCUAGGGUUAUGUGGCAUUUAUGUGAAAACACAAACAAGAACUGCACAGGAGGUAACAUGAUACAAAUCUAUCCUAGUGAAGGAAAGAUUUCCAUCAGUGUGAUAAUGAAGCCAUCCAAAUGUCAGAGUAAAUAAAGGUAGGAUAGUCAUUCUACAUUAGAUUCUAUGACUGCCCCUAUGAUAUAGGUCCUACUGUCUCAGCCUAAAGCAUUUAUUCAUUGGUUAAAAUUUUAAUAACAUAAAUUAUUUUAAAACAUAUUAGAGUAAUAGGUCACAAUAAUGCCACUGACAAAAGAAGUGUCCCAAAAGACAUCAGUAUCUAAAAAUAUGAUCCUGAGAUCACAGAUUCAGAUUUAUAAAGAACCUUAAUGGCUAUUAAAUCUAUACCAUUACUUUAUAAAUAAGAAAAUUUGAGACGCAGAAAGAUUCAAUGAUUUACCCAGGUUCAUACAGAAGUCAAUUAAAGGCCUGAGAUAGAAUUACAACCCAGAUCUUCUUGAUUCUAAGUCCAAAGCUAUACAAUAUAUGUAAUUGACUAUAUCCUUACUAUAAUAACCAUGCCACUGACUAUACAACAGUAUCUAAAAGGUCUACAUUUCUUGUAUUUACUUUGAAAAAUUGAUUAUUCUAUUAUUAAAAAUACUAAUAGAUGUAUAAGGUAUUUUAUGAUUUUCAUAGCACUUUCAUAGAUGGCUAAUUUUAAGAUCUCCAAAGCCAAUCUAUGAGGUGAGCAGAGAGAGAUAUUAUUUUACUUUUGCCUUAGGCUAACUCUGCCUAAAAAUUCUCAUUACUAGAUUCCACAAAAAAGAUAAAGAAAUAAAGUACAUGCAAAAUAGUCA
rnacentral:lncRNA from 1 species